GACGAACGCUGACGGCGUGCUUAACACAUGCAAGUCGAAGGGAGUGGCGAACGGGUGAGUAACACGUGAGUAACCAGCCCUUUUCUUUGGGAUAAGCCUGGGAAACGGGGCCAAAACCUGGAUGGGUUGGGAUGGGCUCGCGUCGUAUGAGUUUGUUGGUGGGGUGACGGCUUACCAAGGCUUUGACGGGUAGCCGGCCUGAGAGGGUGGUCGGUCACACUGGGACUGAGAUACGGCCCAGACUCCUACGGGAGGCAGCAGUGGGGGAUAUUGCACAAUGGACGAAAGUCUGAUGCAGCCAUGCCGCGUGUAUGAAGAAGGCCUUCGGGUUGUAAAGUACUUUCAGCGGGGAGGCGUUACCCGCAGAAGAAGCACCGGCUAACUCCGUGCCAGCAGCCGCGGUAAUAC
rnacentral:rRNA from 1 species